UCAGAUUGAACGCUGGCGGCAGGCCUAACACAUGCAAGUCGAGCGCGAAAUCUCUUCGGAGAGAGUAGAGCGGCGGACGGGUGAGUAACGCGUAGGAAUCUACCCAGUAGUGGGGGACAACAUGGGGAAACCCAUGCUAAUACCGCAUACCGCCUACGGGGGAAAGCGGGGGAUCUUCGGACCUCGCGCUAUUGGAUGAGCCUGCGUUGGAUUAGCUAGUUGGUGGGGUAAAGGCCUACCAAGGCGACGAUCCAUAGCUGGUCUGAGAGGAUGAUCAGCCACACCGGGACUGAGACACGGCCCGGACUCUACGGGAGGCAGCAGUGGGGAAUAUUGCGCAAUGGGCGAAAGCCUGACGCAGCCAUGCCGCGUGUGUGAAGAAGGCUUCGGGUUGUAAAGCACUUUCACUUGGGAAGAAAAGCUUGUCGUUAAUAGCGGCAAGCCGUGACAUUACCAUGAGAAGAAGCACCGGCUAACUCCGUGCCAGCAGCCGCGGUAAUACGGAGGGUGCGAGCGUUAAUCGGAAUUACUGGGCGUAAAGCGCGCGUAGGCGGUUUGUUAAGUCGGAUGUGAAAGCCCCGGGCUCAACCUGGGAACUGCACCCGAUACUGGCCGACUAGAGUACGAGAGAGGGAGGUAGAAUUCCACGUGUAGCGGUGAAAUGCGUAGAUAUGUGGAGGAAUACCGGUGCCGAAGGCGGCCUCCUGGCUCGAUACUGACGCUG
rnacentral:rRNA from 1 species